rnacentral:lncRNA from 12 species
CUCUCCCGAUCUCUCUUGUGUCUCUCAUAAACAAACAAAAACAAACAAAUGAUAAUAAAUAAAUAAAUAAAUAAAUAAAUAAAUAAAUAAAUAAAAUCUUAAAAAAAAAAAAACACAAUGAGGCACCAAAUCACACUGGUGAGAAUGGCUAAAUUUACAGCUAACGAUGACAAGGAUGACACUGAUGGGAAUGAAACUUGAAACAGCCACUCUGGAAAAUAGUUUGGAGGGUCCUACAAAAGCUUCUGAUACAAAGUAAUUGCUCUGAAAUACCUCCCUUGUCUCCCCAGAUACACCCCCGUCUAGACAGCAGAAGUUGGUUGCUGUGCAGCUGCAUUCACUAUGAAAGGACUAUGAUGUCACACAUUGCCAAGGUGACAAGAAAUAUACCUGUGCCUCUCUUUCCAAAUGACACCCUUGAGCUUAGUAGAUCAAAGUUGAUAUUGAGGGAGUUCUCCGCUCUCUACCUAACUUAUUUGAAAAUGGGCAAACUCAAUUGUUACUGCUGUGAAGUGCUCCAAAGGCACAGCUCACAUCUGGGGCAGAUCUGCCAAACAGAGAAAACAAGAGCCACCCCAAAUCAAUAG